rnacentral:rRNA from 1 species
AGAGUUUGAUCCUGGCUCAGGAUGAACGCUAGCGACAGGCCUAACACAUGCAAGUCGAGGGGCAGCGGAGAGGUAGCAAUACCUUUGCCGGCGACCGGCGCACGGGUGAGUAACACGUAUGCAAUCCACCUGUAACAGGGGGAUAACCCGGAGAAAUCCGGACUAAUACCCCAUAAUAUGGGCUCUCCGCAUGGAGGGUCCAUUAAAGAGAGCAAUUUUGGUUACAGACGAGCAUGCGCUCCAUUAGCCAGUUGGCGGGGUAACGGCCCACCAAAGCGACGAUGGAUAGGGGUUCUGAGAGGAAGGUCCCCCACAUUGGAACUGAGACACGGUCCAAACUCCUACGGGAGGCAGCAGUGAGGAAUAUUGGUCAAUGGUCGGCAGACUGAACCAGCCAAGUCGCGUGAGGGAAGACGGCCCUACGGGUUGUAAACCUCUUUUGUCGGAGAGUAAAGUACGCUACGUGUAGCGUAUUGCAAGUAUCCGAAGAAAAAGCAUCGGCUAACUCCGUGCCAGCAGCCGCGGUAAUACGGAGGAUGCAAGCGUUAUCCGGAUUUAUUGGGUUUAAAGGGUGCGUAGGCGGCACGCCAAGUCAGCGGUGAAAUUUCCGGGCUCAACCCGGACUGUGCCGUUGAAACUGGCGAGCUAGAGUGCACAAGAGGCAGGCGGAAUGCGUGGUGUAGCGGUGAAAUGCAUAGAUAUCACGCAGAACCCCGAUUGCGAAGGCAGCCUGCUAGGGUGCGACAGACGCUGAGGCACGAAAGCGUGGGUAUCGAACAGGAUUAGAUACCCUGGUAGUCCACGCAGUAAACGAUGAAUACUAACUGUUUGCGAUACAAUGUAAGCGGUACAGCGAAAGCGUUAAGUAUUCCACCUGGGGAGUACGCCGGCAACGGUGAAACUCAA